GGGGGUGUAGCUCAGUGGGAGAGCACUGGACUGCAGAUCAAGAGGUCCCUUCAGAUAAAGAUCAGGAGGUUCAAAUCCUGGUGCCCCUG
rnacentral:tRNA from 1 species